rnacentral:misc_RNA from 1 species
GUGGUCCAAAACUGCCAGAACCAAUUAGGUGCCCAGAAAUUCUGGGUAACACCAAUCUAGCCAGCCUUAGGAAAAUGGAUAUAUCUUGAGCUACAAAACUCUAAAUGGAGUGAUUCAAAAAGAAAAUUAAAGAUAAGACAAUAAGGAACAACUUUGAUGAAGGACACUUAGCCAAAUUCCUAUAUUAACUAGAUCAAUAGAACAGUGCAAAAUAUGGCACCAAAACUGAAAAAUUGAGCUUUAUCUUAGGAGACCUAGAAAUUGAAAUGGCAACCUAAACCAACAAAUUAGGCACCCAAAAUGUGGUAUGUGGGUGUAAUUGGAAUUCAC